AAUUACAACUUUUAACAACGGAUCUCUUGGUUCUGGCAUCGAUGAAGAACGCAGCGAAAUGCGAUAAGUAGUGUGAAUUGCAGAAUUCAGUGAAUCAUCGAAUCUUUGAACGCACAUUGCGCCCUUUGGUAUUCCAAAGGGCAUGCCUGUUCGAGCGUCAU
rnacentral:rRNA from 1 species